rnacentral:rRNA from 1 species
UACGUAGGAGGCAAGCGUUGUCCGGAAUUACUGGGCGUAAAGAGCGUGUAGGCGGUAGAGUAAGUCUGUGCUGAAAUCUCUGGGCUUAACCUGGAGAAGUGUAUGGAAACUACUCAACUGGAGGAAGGUAGAGGAAGGUGGAAUUCCCGGUGUAGUGGUGAAAUGCGUAGAUAUCGGGAGGAACACCAGCGGCGAAGGCGGCCUUCUGGGCCUAUCCUGACGCUGAGACGCGAAGGCCAGGGUAGCGAACGGG